GAUGAACGCUGGCGGCGUGCCUAAUACAUGCAAGUCGAGCGAACAGACGAGGAGCUUACUCCUCUGACGUUAGCGGCGGACGGGUGAGUAACACGUGGAUAACCUACCUAUAAGACUGGGAUAACUUCGGGAAACCGGAGCUAAUACCGGAUAGCAUGUUGAACCGCAUGGUUCAACAGUGAAAGACGGUCUUGCUGUCACUUAUAGAUGGAUCCGCGUCGCAUUAGCUAGUUGGUAAGGUAACGGCUUACCAAGGCAACGAUGCGUAGCCGACCUGAGAGGGUGAUCGGCCACACUGGAACUGAGACACGGUCCAGACUCCUACGGGAGGCAGCAGUAGGGAAUCUUCCGCAAUGGGCGAAAGCCUGACGGAGCAACGCCGCGUGAGUGAAGAAGGUCUUCGGAUCGUAAAACUCUGUUAUUAGGGAAGAACAAAUGUGUAAGUAACUAUGCACGUCUUGACGGUACCUAAUCAGAAAGCCACGGCUAACUACGUG
rnacentral:rRNA from 1 species